rnacentral:lncRNA from 1 species
CAGGCCGCACCACUCCUCCGAUCCGGCCACGCCGUUAGGAGCACGAGCAGCCUCCCUGACGCUCCUCCUCGCCCCGGAUGCCCUGGAGCCUCGUCGCCACCCCCCUCCAUCGCCCGCACCCUCCUCCGCCGCCCCAUCCCGCCGGCGACUUCGCCACCUAGCCGGAGCAGCCACCUCCCCGGAGGAACUCCUCUCCCCUGCCAGCAAAAACGGUGAGAUUCAUCUGUAUAGGAGAAAAUGAAGAAAAUGAGUUCGUAAUGCUAUUUACCAUCAAUUUGGUAGUAACUAGAGGGCAGCAGCGGCACUAUUUUACAACUCCAUCUAUUAUCUAUAUUCAAAGGUGACCCUACAUGAAUAUGAGAGAACAAAUUGAGUUCUGGUUACCUUGCCAUUGCAACUACAAGUGUCUUGCAGUACACAACAAGAAACUAUCCUCGUGUUCUUGAAAUUUAAAUCUUUUUUAGAAUUUUUUACCUCUCAUCAAUCCAUCAUUGAACACAUAUAUCCACUACUGCCCAUAACUGGUUGGAAAACCUGAUAACUCUAGCCUCCUGACGGAGUGCAGAGUAAACAGCACCUAUGCGCAAUGUCCGUUUGUUCCAAGACACACAUGCAAAAUUCAGAGAUAUCAUGCUAUGGUCUAGGGAUGACUCUGAUUCCUGAACUGAAGAUGAACGAAACAAUAAGCCAAAGUGCAAAUCUUACCUGGAUCACCUUGCUGCCAUCUUCCAUAGUAAAAAGCAUAGGAAAUUGCCAACUGAAAUCGCACCAAUUAGAGAACAACCUGAAAGAACAACAAGUGCCUCAUAAAAAUAAAUCCGUGGAGAGCUCCACUUGCAAUGAAACCACUGCGAUCUUUAUGCAUUUCAUAAUUUAUCAGUGCAAUUUAGCAAUUGGGCCUCAUAAAAAACAGUUGCAAAAAGCAGCGGCUGCCCUUUCAUCAAACAUCUUCCAUAGUCUUUCUCAUGGCCGCCAUACCUCAAGGCCGGCAGAUCCCCUAUGACGGAGAGAGGAAGAGAGAGACUUAGAGAGAGGGGGAGAGAGUGUGGAAUGGAUUGGGGACUCACCAACGCGCGGAGCUCCAGGACCAGAACAAAAGGGAAGCCAGCCCCGAUAACCUCCUUCCCCCAAGAUGGUGCACACACAGGUGCAGGCCUCCUAUUCAGUGCCGAGGAGGAGGUAGACUGGCCGCAACAGUGGCGCGACGAAUCAAGCUCCUCCAGUCGAGCACCGAGCGAGGCGACAACGAGAAAAGCGGGAGGAUACAGGCAUGUGGCCGCGCGAGGGAGGCACCCCCGAGUGGCACAACAUCACUUGGUCUUCUUCAUCGUGGGCGAGGACAGGCGCCGGCAGAGAUCGUGAUGGUUGGACAAGGAGAGAAGGGAACGCAUCAGGACAGAGGGGUUGGCGUGAUGGCCUGAGGUAGCUUCUCCAUGAAGGAAAGCUGGCUACGUGGGCCAAUGUCAACAAGCUGCCAAGCAGACAAGUUUUUCCAAUCGCUGGCCUGAAUUUUUUUUCUCUUCUCCUGCCCAAUAGCUAGGGGAUGACGUGGAUAGCGGGAGGAGGCACUCUUGCAGUGUAGCUUAUUGUAUUUGAUUCUUGGACACAUGACACAUCAUACCUACACAAAUAAAAUAUUCUCAUGCUAAUAUCUAUUCUCUUUGAAUAAAUGAUACAAAAUAAAGGAGGUGACACCUUCGAAUAUGUAGAAU